GGGGCUAUAGCUCAGUUGGUAGAGCACUACAAUGGCAUUGUAGGGGUCAGCGGUUCGAGCCCGCUUAGCUCCA
rfam:Oscillatoriales cyanobacterium TSR001 contig_22, whole genome shotgun sequence.